rnacentral:snoRNA from 12 species
GUCAGAUGAUUUGAAUUUGUUUGCUGAUCUCCUGUGAGGCUCAAUAAUAGCAUGUUAGAGUUCUGAUGGCA